rnacentral:rRNA from 1 species
UGAGUACGAGCGGCUACGGCCGCGAAGUGGAUGAUGUCAAGCUUCCAAGAAAAGCCCUAUACCCGUUAAGGCAUGAUGGCCUGUACCCGAAACCGACACAGGUGGGGUGGUAGAGAAUACCGAGGGGCGCGAGGUAACUCUCUCUAAGGAACUCGGCAAAAUGGCCCCGUAACUUCGGGAGAAGGGGUGCCACUGCGAGGUGGUCGCAGUGAAGAGGCCCAGGCGACUGUUUACCAAAAACACAGGUCUCCGCUAAGUCGCAAGACGAUGUAUGGGGGCUGACGCCAGCCCAGUGCCGGAAGGUUAAGGAAGCUGGUCAGCGCAAGCGAAGCUGGCGACUGAAGCCCCGGUGAACGGCGGCCGUAACAAUAACGGUCCUAAGGUAGCGAAAUUCCUGGUCGGGUAAGUUCCGACCCGCACGAAAGGCGUAACGAUCUGGGCGCUGUCUCGGAGAGAGGCUCGGCGAAAUAGAAUUGUCUGUGAAGAUGCGGACUACGUGCACCCGGACAGAAAGACCCUAUGAAGCUUUACUGUAGCUUGGUAUUGUGCUCGGGCUCGGAAUGCGCAGGAUAGGUGGGAGGCUUUGAUCCAUUGCUUGCGGGUGAUGGUGAGCCACUGGUGAGAUACCACUCUUUCCGAGCUAGAGUUCUAACAGCAACCCGUUAUCCGGGUGCUGGACAGUAUCAGGUGGGCAGUUUGACUGGGGCGGUCGCCUCCUAAAAGGUAACGGAGGCGCGCAAAGGUCUGCUCAGGCUGGUUGGAAAUCAGCCGACGAGUGUAAAAGCAGAAGCAGGCUUGACUGUGAGACCUACAAGUCGAACAGGGAGGAAACUCGGCUUUAGUGAUCCGACGGUUCUGCGUGGAAGGGCCGUCGCUCAACGGAUAAAAGUUACUCUAGGAUAACAGGCUGAUCUCCCCCAAGAGUUCACAUCGACGGGGAGGUUUGGCACCUCGAUGUCGGCUCAUCGCAACCUGGGGCUGAAGUCGGUCCCAAGGGUUGGGCUGUUCGCCCGUUAAAGCGGUACGCGAGCUGGGUUCAGAACGUCGUGAGACAGUUCGGUCCAUAUCCGGUGCACGCGCGGGAAUAUUGAGAGGAUUUCUCCCUAGUACGAGAGGACCGGGAGGAACGCACCUCUGGUGUGCCAGUUAUCGUGCCAACGGUAAACGCUGGGUAGCCAUGUGCGGAGUGGAUAACCGCUGAAAGCAUCUAAGUGGGAAGCCCACCUCAAGAUGAGUAUUCCCAUGGCAUAAGCCAGUAAGGUCACGGGAAGAACACCCGUUGAUAGGCUCUACGUGGAAGCGCAGUAAUGUGUGAAGCGGAGGAGUACUAAUAGACCGAGGGCUUGAC